ACCUCAUCAUUUCGAAUUUUUCUGAAUUGAAUCAGAAGGUACUAAUUGAAUAGUUGGAUAGGCCUAGUAUUGACGUGCUCUCUAUAUUUCAGAUCAAUCAUGAGCUGAGUUGGAUUGAUCCCCUCAUAGAUUAUAUAUCUAAAGAAGUUCUGCCCAAUGAUCCAACCAAAGUCAGAAGUAUUAAAAAACAAGCUUCAUGAUAUGUUCU
rnacentral:lncRNA from 1 species